AGUGAACGCUGGCGGUAGGCCUAACACAUGCAAGUCGAACGGCAGCACAGUAAGAGCUUGCUCUUACGGGUGGCGAGUGGCGGGCGGGUGAGGAAUACAUCGGAAUCUACUUUUUCGUGGGGGAUAACGUAGGGAAACUUACGCUAAUACCGCAUACGACCUACGGGUGAAAGCAGUGGAUCUUCGGACCUUUCGCGAUUGAAUGAGCCGAUGUCGGAUUAGCUAGUUGGCGGGGUAAAGGCCCACCAAGGCGACGAUCCGUAGCUGGUCUGAGAGGAUGAUCAGCCACACUGGAACUGAGACACGGUCCAGACUCCUACGGGAGGCAGCAGUGGGGAAUCUUGGGCAAUGGGCGCAAGCCUGAUCCAGCCAUACCGCGUGGGUGAAGAAGGCCUUCGGGUUGUAAAGCCCUUUUGUUGGGAAAGAAAAGCAGCAGGUUAAUACCCCGCUGUUCUGACGGUACCCAAUGAAUAAGCACCGGCUAACUUCGUG
rnacentral:rRNA from 1 species